UACGUAGGGUGCGAGCGUUGUCCGGAAUUAUUGGGCGUAAAGAGCUCGUAGGCGGUCUGUCGCGUCUGCUGUGAAAACUCGGGGCUUAACCCCGGGCCUGCAGUGGGUACGGGCAGACUAGAGUGCGGUAGGGGAGACUGGAAUUCCUGGUGUAGCGGUGAAAUGCGCAGAUAUCAGGAAGAACACCCGUGGCGAAGGCGGUUCUCUGGGACGGUACUGACGCUGAGACGCGAAAGCGUGGGGAGCGAACAGG
rnacentral:rRNA from 1 species